rnacentral:rRNA from 1 species
AUUGAACGCUGGCGGCAGGCCUAACACAUGCAAGUCGAGCGGUAGAGAGGUGCUUGCAUCUCUUGAGAGCGGCGGACGGGUGAGUAAUGCCUAGGAAUCUGCCUAGUGGUGGGGGAUAACGCUCGGAAACGGACGCUAAUACCGCAUACGUCCUACGGGAGAAAGCGGGGGAUCUUCGGACCUCGCGCCAUUAGAUGAGCCUAGGUCGGAUUAGCUAGUUGGUGAGGUAAUGGCUCACCAAGGCGACGAUCCGUAACUGGUCUGAGAGGAUGAUCAGUCACACUGGAACUGAGACACGGUCCAGACUCCUACGGGAGGCAGCAGUGGGGAAUAUUGGACAAUGGGCGAAAGCCUGAUCCAGCCAUGCCGCGUGUGUGAAGAAGGUCUUCGGAUUGUAAAGCACUUUAAGUUGGGAGGAAGGGUAGGUAACCUAAUACGUUGCUACUUUGACGUUACCGACAGAAUAAGCACCGGCUAACUUCGUGCCAG